UACGAAGGGGGCGAGCGUUAAUCGGAAUUACUGGGCGUAAAGCGUGCGCAGGCGGUUUUGUAAGCCAGAUGUGAAAUCCCCGGGCUUAACCUGGGAAUGGCAUUUGGGACUGCAAGGCUUGAGUGCGGCAGAGGAGACUGGAAUUCCUGGUGUAGCAGUGAAAUGCGUAGAUAUCAGGAGGAACACCGAUGGCGAAGGCAGGUCUCUGGGCUGACACUGACGCUCAUGCACGAAAGCGUGGGGAGCAAACAGG
rnacentral:rRNA from 1 species